GAGUGUAAAACUGGUAUACUAGCCGUGCUCACGGUCAUGAGCAGCUCGGACCCUCACAUGAUUAAUUUAUGGAACUUAAAUUCAAUUUGUCAUAUGCAUUGCAUCGCAGGUGAUGUUGUUACUUUUGUUCUACCAUUUAAUUGGGCUGGUAUUUACUUAUACUUAGUAAUUGCUAAUAAAAUUUGGACCAACUUUAAAAGCAAUGCUCAGCUCUAACCAUCCUCUUUGGUAAGCCUUACACUUCACGUGAGCUCCCACCUUUGGCGAGUUCAUGCACAUUAUUCCCCACAACUUGUUGAGCGAUGAACGUAUGUGAGCUCACUCUUGCUGUCUCACACCCCCCACAGGUCAAGAACAGGUACCGCAGGAUGAGGCGCAUGGAGGAUGCUGUGAUGAGUUCGUGAGAGGUCUAGGCCGUCGUCUCCCAGUCAACUUUGGGUUGCUGGACCGUUGUCUCCUUAUAAUGUAAUUAUUUACUUAUUUUGUAUAGAACUCCUGUUAUGUAGUAAAGAUGUGACAUUCGAUCCUGUGCCAUGAUUCAUCAUAUGUGUGAGACUUGGUCCCAGCACACCUGGUGAUUAUGUUUACGCCCGGGCUUUGGACCCCUAAAACCCGGGUGUCACAGUUAGUCCCAAAAUGUGUUCUCCCUUUAGAAGCUUGUGAAGAUUCUUCAUCCCAACGUAGGCUAGUCGGCG
rnacentral:lncRNA from 7 species